CAAUUAAUCAUAUUUCAAACCAUUAAAAUACUAAGAAACAUUAUAAUGCUUUCUCCUAGUAACAAUACUCCUUCAUCAACUGAUAACAACAAUGUGCAACCCUAUACUCUCAAAAGACCGCUCAAAAUAUAAUAAUUUCUAUCCAAUAUCAAGAAUAAUAGACUUUUUUCCAAUCAAUCUGAAUUCACAUAAUUUCUGUAAUCAUAGACUUCUUCUAUCCAAAACACACACAACUCUCAAUAAACAACAAUCAUAAUCUUCCAAUAACUCUUCAUAUAAUUCAAUCACUCAGUGUUCUAAUUACAUAACCAAUAAUUCAUAAAUAAAUCUCUGAUUUAUUCCACAGACUUACUUCUCAGUAUUUAGAAACUAUCCAUUAUUCUUCAAUAAUAAAGAAAAUAAAGAAACAAAGAAGUAGCACCAAGCUUACCCCAGCUCAUGACUAUCACAAUCUGGCACCCCAACAAACUUCUACAACUCCUAUAUAAUUGCUCCUGAUUUCUAGAUUUUAACCAUAAUCUUAUAAUUAACCGCUUUUAAUAACUAAAUCAAUCAUCCGUCCUCCUGAACUGACUAUUUUAUGGACUAUUAGUCUAUUUUACCAAUAUCUUACAGAAAUGAACUAUUAUCUAUUCUACAUAGCCCCACUCCUAACUAUGCAGCGUCUUCGCAAAUACACAAUUGAUUCCUAUCUAAAAACUACUUAACAAAACUCUAUAAAGUUACUAUUUCCUGUGGCCCACCCAAUUAAUCAUUUGCUGUAUUAUCGAAUGUAGAUUCUACCGAAUCUGAUUCCAAAUGCAAAUCUUCUUCCUCCUCAAGUCUUUCCAUUGACUCCUUUUUCAACUAGUUUGAUAGAUCUUCAUUAUACUCUCUCAAUUCACGGCUUGAACCUCCAGUUUCAAGAUUUCAGCAUGAUAGAGUUCCAAUUGAUACUGCUGUUGACUCAUCUAUUCUAGAACAUCUUCAAUUAACACUUGUGACCAACUCCUCACUAUUAACUCUUAACUGGAACUACUACUCUCGAAUACACAAGAAACACAAGAAAAUGGCUC
rnacentral:lncRNA from 1 species